GAUGAACGCUGGCGGCGUGCUUAACACAUGCAAGUCGAGCGGGCCGACGCAAGUCGGCCAGCGGCAAACGGGUGAGUAACACGUAAGUAAUCUUCCCUUAAGACUGGCACAACCCCGCGAAAGCGGGGCUAAUACCAGAUGUGAUAGCCGGGACUAAUGUCCCGACUAUUAAACGGAACGCAAGAACCGCUUGAGGAUGAGCUUGCGGCCUAUCAGCUAGUUGGCGGUGUAAUGGACCACCAAGGCGAUGACGGGUAGCUGGUCUGAGAGGACGACCAGCCACACUCGCACUGAGACACGGGCGAGACUCCUACGGGAGGCAGCAGUGAGGAAUUUUCCGCAAUGGACGAAAGUCUGACGGAGCGACGCCGUGUGUGUGAUGAAGUCUUUCGGGAUGUAAAACACUGUCGAGGGGGACGAUAUUGACGGUACCCCUGGAGGAAGCCCCGGCUAACUACGUGCCAGCAGCCGCGGUAAUACGUAGGGGGCGAGCGUUGUCCGGAAUUAUUGGGCGUAAAGGGCGUGUAGGCGGUUCUGUAAGUUGGAUGUUAAAGGUAUGGGCUCAACUCAUACAUCGCGUCCAAUACUGCAGUUCUCGAGAUUGGUAGAGGGAAACGGAACUUCCGGUGUAGCGGUGAAAUGCGUAGAUAUCGGAAGGAACACCAGUGGCGAAGGCGGUUUCCUGGGCCAAUUCUGACGCUGAGGCGCGAAAGCUAAGGGGGCAAACAGGAUUAGAUACCCUGGUAGUCUUAGCUGUAAACUAUGGUCACUAGGUGUUUGUGGUAUCGACCCCAUGAGUGCCGAAAUUAACAUGAUUAGUGACCCGCCUGGGGAGUACGGUCGCAAGAUUAAAACUCAAAAGAAUUGACGGGGGCCCGCACAAGCGGUGGAGCAUGUGGUUCAAUUCGAUGCUACGCGAAGAACCUUACCUAGGCUUGACAUGUAUGGAAUCUGUGGGAAACCAUAGAGUGCCUCGAAAGAGGAGCCAUAACACAGGUGCUGCAUGGCUGUCGUCAGCUCGUGUCGUGAGAUGUUGGGUUAAGUCCCGCAACGAGCGCAACCCCUACGGUUAGUUGCCACCCCCCCGAUUUAUCGGGGGGCGCACUCUAGCAGAACUGCCUCUGACAAAGGGGAGGAAGGCGGGGAUGACGUCAAGUCAGCAUGGCCCUUACGCUUAGGGCUACACACGUGCUACAAUGGCACAUACAGAGCGAUGCAAGACAGCAAUGUGGAGCAAAUCGCAAAAAGUGUGCCUCAGUUCGGAUUGAGGGCUGCAACUCGCCCUCAUGAAGCUGGAAUCGCUAGUAACCGCAGGUCAGCUACACUGCGGUGAAUACGUUCUCGGGCCUUGUACACACCGCCCGUCACACCAUGAGAGUCAGGAACACCCGAAGUGGCAUUCGUGUCAUUAAGGUGGUAUUGAUGAUUGGGGUG
rnacentral:rRNA from 1 species